GCUAUUUUUGUUGCCCUAGAUACAGAUAACGGUAGGUUUAGUACCUGUCUUAUUUUCUUCCAAACCUUUAAUGUAUACUUAACCCAUUCAUUUUGUAUCCUAAGUUUACGCCAUGCAUUUGUCGUCAGAAAGGGGAGGGCUGAGAGUGAUGUGUUUACUGAACUUUGCUCUAUAUGUACCCAUUUUGUAUCCAUAUCCAAUCUCAUCCAGGAGACCAGUACUCUAAGUUGUGCUGCCCAGUAAUAACUUCUGAAAUGAGGCAAAGAUAAGCCGCCCUUCUCUUUAUGUAAGCAAAGAACUUUGAGUCGAAAACCAGCCUAUCUAAGAGCUUAAAAGUAGAUACCGGGACAGCAAUAGGAAGAGAACAAAAGACAAAUAACAGCCUUGGCAGAACAUUCAUCCUAACGGUGAAGCCAACAGUUGUGCUGUGGAUUCUGGUUAGGACUACAUCACACUCUGAAUAACAGCUCUUCUGGGGUUUAUCAAACUGUAAAAGUAAAAGGUAGCCACAGACAUUUGCGCUUUUUUACUCACAGAUCGAAAUCACUCGAAACAUGGCAAUGACGAAUCACUAAACGCUCAUCGGUCAGAGGACACAGUCCAUCCACCAUAAGGUUUUCCGGUGGGUAAUAAAACAGACCUUUUGUAAAAGAUGGUUAAGGUAUUUUUCAAGGGAAUUGGAUAUGCUGAUAAGUACCUUGAAGAGAUCAAGGCCGAUCUCCAAAGACGACUUUGUGUGACCCAAGUUGGAAAUGAACGAGAAUGUGAUGUCAUCUUGGUCCUCUGUCCAAUCGUCUCUCGAGCUGGAACCGAUGUUGAGGCUGCACUGAGUGCGAUUCCAAGCUCAAAGCCUACACUUCUUAUGGUGUUUCAUCACACAUUCGACCCGGACGAGAUAAUACCCAACACCCAGAAGUAUGUCGGAGGGAGAGGAAUGACGGUAGACCUGCUUUUCAAUGAAGAAGGAGGACUACUUUCUUGCAGAAGAAAUGAGAACUCUAAGAGAAUGGCUGCAGAUUUUCUCAGCCAAUAUGAAACACAAAGCCCUAGACGCAGUGAUAUCUAUUCAAAUGCCAAGCUUCUGUUCAUUUUAUUGGUCCUUUUAAUCAUGUUUUGGCUUUGGCAUUCUCAGGAAGAUCAGGUAGAUCAAUAUCAAAUGAUGUCAAAUGAUACACUACAGUCGAAAUAUGAGCAUAACUGAAAUCUGAUUCAAAUCGUCUUCGGUCUGAAAUGCCAGAAGUGGGUUUUUUUAAGUCAUAUAUUGGCAACACCAACAUGUUUUAUUUGAAAACAUUAAAAAGGUGAAGAGCAAUCAGCAGUAUGACUUUCAAGUGUCAUUUGAUUUAAGAGUAAAUUGUAGUUUAUAAGUUGUAAUUACUCAACCUCCUUGCAUCCUGAAACUGCAUAACACCUCUAACCUUUUAGCCAUUUUACUUAGUUAUUUAUUAAGUUAUAGGCUAGGCUACGGCUGGGAAAGGUGGAAAAUCAUGUGAACAGGCCAUAAUAAAAUUGAAAGUGUUCAAUCAA